rfam:Colletotrichum higginsianum, IMI 349063, WGS project CACQ02000000 data, contig: cont1.5918
UCCUUGAUAGUCUAGUGGUUAGGAUAUCUGCUUGUCAUUUAAACGAUUCGCAGGGGACCGGGGUUCAAUUCCCCGUCGAGGAG